rnacentral:tRNA from 1 species
UCCCUGAUGGUCCAGUGGUUAAGAUUCUGCGCUUCCAACACAGGGGACAUGAGUUCAAUUCCUGGUCAGGGAA